rnacentral:rRNA from 1 species
AUUGAACGCUGGCGGCAGGCCUAACACAUGCAAGUCGAGCGGAUGAAGGGAGCUUGCUCCUGGAUUCAGCGGCGGACGGGUGAGUAAUGCCUAGGAAUCUGCCUGGUAGUGGGGGAUAACGUCCGUACACGGGCGCUAAUACCUCAUACGUCCUGAGGGAGAAAUUUGGGGAUCUUCGUACCUCACGCUAUCAGUUGAGCCUAGGUCGGAUUAGCUAGUUGGUGGGGUAAAGGCCUACCAAGGCGACGAUCCGUAACUGGUCUGAGAGGAUGAUCAGUCACAAUGGAACUGAGACACGGUCCAGACUCCUACGGGAGGCAGCAGUGGGGAAUAUUGGACAAUGGGCGAAAGCCUGAUCCAGCCAUGCCGCGUGUGUGAAGAAGGUCUUCGGAUUGUAAAGCACUUUAAGUUGGGAGGAAGGGCAGUAAGUUAAUACCUUGCUGUUUUGACGGUACCAACAGAAUAAGCACCGGCUAACUUCGUG